rnacentral:tRNA from 1 species
GGGUCGUUAGCUCAGCUGGUAGAGCAGGAGACUCUUAAUCUCUUGGUCGAGGGUUCGAUUCCCUCACGGCCUACCA